rnacentral:rRNA from 1 species
AAUGAACGUUGGCGGCGUGGAUUAGGCAUGCAAGUCGAGCGAGAACCCAGCAAUGGGGGACAGCGGCGAAAGGGACAGUAAUGUGUAGAUCAUCUGCCCUCAGGCCCGGGAUAGCUGCGGGAAACUGCAGGUAAUACCGGAUAAUAUCUCCGGAUCAAAGGUGUGAUUCCGCCUGGGGAUGAGGCUACAUCCUAUUAGCUUGUUGGUGGGGUAAUGGCCUACCAAGGCGAUGAUGGGUAGCGGGUGUGAGAGCACGACCCGCGUCAUUGGGACUGAGACACUGCCCAGACACCUACGGGUGGCGGCAGUCGAGAAUCUUCGGCAAUGGGCGCAAGCCUGACCGAGCGACGCCGCGUGCGGGAUGAAGGCCUUCGGGUUGUAAACCGCUGUCAGAGGGGAUGAAAUGCAGGUGGGUUCUCCCAUCUGUUUGACAUAGCCUCAGAGGAAGGACGGGCUAAGUUCGUGCCAGCAGCCGCGGUAAUAC